AGUGAACGCUGGCGGUAGACCUAACACAUGCAAGUCGAACGGCAGCACAGUAAGAGCUUGCUCUUACGGGUGGCGAGUGGCGGACGGGUGAGGAAUACAUCGGAAUCUACUUUUUCGUGGGGGAUAACGUAGGGAAACUUACGCUAAUACCGCAUACGACCUACGGGUGAAAGCAGGGGAUCUUCGGACCUUGCGCGAUUGAAUGAGCCGAUGUCGGAUUAGCUAGUUGGCGGGGUAAAGGCCCACCAAGGCGACGAUCCGUAGCUGGUCUGAGAGGAUGAUCAGCCACACUGGAACUGAGACACGGUCCAGACUCCUACGGGAGGUAGCAGUGGGGAAUAUUGGACAAUGGGCGCAAGCCUGAUCCAGCCAUACCGCGUGGGUGAAGAAGGCCUUCGGGUUGUAAAGCCCUUUUGUUGGGAAAGAAAAGCAGCAGGUUAAUACCCCGCUGUUCUGACGGUACCCAAAGAAUAAGCACCGGCUAACUUCGUG
rnacentral:rRNA from 1 species